UUCAAAAAAGCAAUAUGCAUAAAAUUUAAGAUUUUAUAUAGUGAAUUUUCACUUUUGAAA
rnacentral:tRNA from 1 species